GUCUACGGCCAUACCCACCCUGAACGCGCCCGAUCUCGUCUGAUCUCGGAAGCUAAGCAGGGUCGGGCCUGGUUAGUACUUGGAUGGGAGACC
rnacentral:rRNA from 1 species